rnacentral:lncRNA from 1 species
AGCCCCGCCCCUUCCUGGCGCCUUGAGGCGGGAGAACCGGAAGGAAACCCUUUUCCUGGCGGGCUGUGCGGCGGAGACUACAGUACCCAGAAGGCUGCGGAGGAGGCGCGUGCCGGGCCGGGUGGGCGCCUCAGUCUACCCCUGCUCUGGGGGAGCGGACAGGAGCCGGGAGGCGGCCGGGGCCCGCGCCUGUGUGGGUCAGCGGGAGGGUUCGGCGAGUCCGCGGGCCUUCCCGGCCGCCCGCCUCGUGACCUCAUCGGCGACCCCUGUGCAGGUAUAACCGAGAGAUGGAGACCCGUGGUGGUGGCAGCAGUCCUGCUCCAGGUUGGUGGGUCAGCAGGUGGAGAACUGCCUUCUUGGAAGAUGAGGAGCUUCACUUUUGAAUGACUGACCCAGGUUCGGAAACUCGAUAAGGUCCGUCCCAUUGGGCUUUUCAAAGAUUGGUUUUAUUUAUUUCUCCCCGCCCCCUCACUGUUUGCGCUUGCUGUGUGUGUUGUGUGCCCUGACGACCCACUCCCAUGUGGUAGGUGGGUGCCCACGGCGCUUCAGCCACGUUGGCUUCCCAGUCCUAGCGGGCUCCUAGCUGGCUAGCAGGGUGCUGCGUUUUCCAGUUUUUAAGAAGCACCCGACCUCCUGGAUUUACAAAAUGCCGAGGGACAUGGGUGGGGAAAAGGAACCCGGAGGGGGAGAGUGGCUCCUCCGGAGGGAGGGACUUGAGUUCCUCCCUCAGUAAUCACGCAUUUAUGGGCUAGAUUGUUCCUCCAGUUUGUUCAGGCG